rnacentral:rRNA from 1 species
UACAGAGGUCUCAAGCGUUUGUUCGGAUUCAUUGGGCGUAAAGGGUGCGUAGGCGGCGCGGUAAGUCGGGUGUGAAAUCUCGGGGCUUAACUCCGAAACUGCAUUCGAUACUGCCGUGCUUGAGGACUGGAGAGGAGACUGGAAUUUACGGUGUAGCGGUGAAAAUGCGUAGAUAUCGUAAGGAAGACCAGUGGCGAAGGCGGGUCUCUGGACAGUUCCUGACGCUGAGGCACGAAGGUCAGGGGAGCAAAACGGG